UACGUAGGGUGCGAGCGUUGUCCGGAAUUACUGGGCGUAAAGAGCUCGUAGGUGGUUUGUCGCGUUGUUCGUGAAAUUCCCUGGCUUAACUGGGGGUGUGCGGGCGAUACGGGCAGACUGGAGUACUGCAGGGGAGACUGGAAUUCCUGGUGUAGCGGUGGAAUGCGCAGAUAUCAGGAGGAACACCGGUGGCGAAGGCGGGUCUCUGGGCAACAACUGACGCUGAGGAGCGAAAGCGUGGGGAGCGAACAGG
rnacentral:rRNA from 1 species